AAAAACAUGUCCGUCUUUUGCUGUUGCUGUCGCUCAGCUACUUCWGAAGAGACUUCCUGAACGGACUGGAAAAUGUUCUUUCCAGCAUUUUGUCCCAAGACAGGCUUGGGAGAUGGAGGUAGGAUUCGGCAGGAGGAGUUAUGAAGUGUGCAGUAUAGUGACGAUAGGCAGGUAACAGCUUCUGGUGGUAAUACCAGGGCAYGUAACGCAGGCUAAAGACCAGAAAAAGCCUUCUCCAUUCGACCAAAGACCGGUGGGAGAGCUUGGUGCCAGCACGUCAUCAAGCAUCACCUGAUAGAUCACCUUCGAUUGCUUCUCAGGGUUCAGGCGUUGCCUUUUCUCUAAACCAGCCAGGGUUUACAAAAAGCAUUUGGAUGUUGGCUCCGAAACGGACGGGGAGAGGAGAAGGUUUCUGCUGGUGGAGCUGCCAAAGACGUAGGGAAAGCUAUAGGCUCUGCCGGGAGAGGUGAGAGAAACCAGCAUCUMGCCCUCCUCAGAUCCCUUCAGAUCUGGUUUUUAUCAGGUAUUUUGAAGUGAGCUUUUUCUUUCUCUGGGCCACGCAGUUCAUACCUUUGCUGAACCUGAAGCCCAACGAGYUGUGAUUUAACGGAGGGCGCGAGGUGAUCGGAGCCCAGGCUCGUGCUGUCGGCGGGAGGCCGCCCCGCUCAGCCGGGAACGUGUCCGACCCAGCCCAGCCCAGCCGCUCCCUCGGCCCACUCACGUCCCUGUCCCGAUCAGUGCAGCAUUUCCCAUCUAGUCCAUGUAGUCCUAUGCAAAGGCAUCAGCAAACCCGUUGCGCAAAGCUAUUCCUCCUCAGUUUGAAAAAGCCAUCACAACUUUCCUUCUCUUUCCCAGCAGGAACCACUUCCCGUGCACGCAAGGCAGCCCUGCCGAAACAUCGGGGUCUUCAGUAAGGAGGGGACCCUCACAAUGAAGCUGGUAAACGUACUUGCCAUGGACACCCUGUUCUCAGAUAUCGCUCAAGCCUUCAACAAGCAGCACGAGGACCACUCUGCCAUGAAGAAGGCUGCCCAAAAGCUGAAGGAGCUUUCUGGCUGCGCUCCCACUGCUGGUCUUGCAGCCUGCGUAGAGCAGGCACAGCAGGAGCACGGUGCCCGCGAGGUGCAGGUGCACAUGGAGGGCUAUAGUUUUUCACUCAUUGUAAAGGAGAGGAAAGUGCCAGACAAACUGCAGCGGGUCCAGCAGCAGAUGGAGGAGCUGAGUAAUUCCACAAAACGUGUCCUUGCAACAGAAACUGCCCUGCAGGAAAUGAUCUGCUCAGUGCUUGAGAACCAGACUCAGCUGGCAGAGAGAAUCAAAUCUGCAAACCCAGAGUAUCUGGACCAGGUACGGCUAGAAGCUAAUCUAAGAGAGAACAUCCAAAAAAUCAGCCUGGCCAAGGAGCUCUCAGAGGAGUACAGCGAAGGGGCCAAGAGCAUUCUCCGGGAAAUGGCUCAGCUAGCUGGCUUGACGCUGUAAGGGGCUCCUGAAAUAGGGACAGGAUUGAUGUUAAUACCCUGUUGCACAUACAGAGCAAUAGCUUAGAGGAUGCCUGGGUGGUGUACUGACUUGGUGRUGUAGGUAAAGAGCCCUCAGCAAAUGGCUUAUGGGCAGCUCUGGGUCCCAAAUGUGUUUUAUCCAACGACAGGCAGAGGGAUGCAUCUGAGAAAAGGCUUUGAUUUUCACCUGAGCCAUUAUUACAGGUGGACAGAAAMUCACUGUUUCCAUGUAGUGCGUCAGAUCAGCCUAUCUGCAUUAAAGUAUGGCAAAACAAGGAGUACCUGACCAAAAUAAAGGCAACUUGGACUGGAAUUUGGUAAAAUUU
ensembl:lncRNA uncharacterized LOC112982445